GUGGGGAAUCUUGCGCAAUGGAGGCAACUCUGACGCAGCCAUGCCGCGUGCAGGAAGAAGGCGCUACGCGUUGUAAACUGCUUUUAACCGGGAAGAAACCCCAGGACGUGUCCUGGGUUGACGGUACCGGAGGAAUAAGCACCGGCUAACUUCGUGCCAGCAGCCGCGGUAAUACGAAGGGUGCAAGCGUUAUCCGGAUUCAUUGGGUUUAAAGGGUGCGUAGGCGGAGCGUUAAGUCAGUGGUGAAAUCCUGCAGCUUAACUGUAGACUUGCCAUUGAUACUGGCGCUCUUGAGUGCGCUUGAAGUGGGCGGAAUGUGCCGUGUAGCGGUGAAAUGCUUAGAUAUGGCACAGAACACCAAUUGCGAAGGCAGCUCACUAAGGCGAUACUGACGCUGAGGCACGAAAGCGUGGGGAUCGAACAGGAUUAGAUACCCUUGUAGUCC
rnacentral:rRNA from 1 species